UUUCCGUAGGUGAACCUGCGGAAGGAUCAUUACUGAGUGAGGGCCCCUCGGGGUCCAACCUCCCACCCGUGUUUAACGAACCUUGUUGCUUCGGCGGGCCCGCCUCACGGCCGCCGGGGGGCAUCCGCCCCCGGGCCCGCGCCCGCCGAAGCCACCUGUGAACGCUGUCUGAAGUAUGCAGUCUGAGACAAUUAUUAAAUUAAUUAAAACUUUCAACAACGGAUCUCUUGGUUCCG
rnacentral:misc_RNA from 1 species